UUAGCAGUCUAAGGUGUGUGGUUAUUUCUCGCUCCACCUCUCUCAGUGUCCGACAUUCUUCCUUCAUAUGGAUCUUUAUUCAUUACUUACUUUACAUCCUUUCUACCAUUCCUCUACAAGUUUUUACCCUUUAUCCACCCUUAAAAAUAUCUGUAUUCUAAACAAAUUUUAUUUGUUCGCAUCUUGCAUUUUUCGUGUUUCAUAUCAUAUCAGUAAGUCUCAUCCCAGCAAGUUUCUUGUGGUGAAUCAUUUACCUCGUUGCCCGUGUCCAUUUCCCAGAAUGCAAUGCAAAUUGCAAUUUGUGUUUGUUACAGCGGUGAAUUGCGGCCAUGAGCAUAAUGACAGUUGUAAUGGGUGCGAUUAUACUGCCUGCAUUUUUGUUUCCUGAUGGAGCUUUUAAGCUCCCUGAAGAGAGAGAUGGAGAAAAUGUGUGUGUGUGUGUGUGUGUGUUUGUGGGGGGGGAGGGGGGUUUAAAAAGUGUGUUUAUGGGAAAGAGAGUGACUGGUAGGAGUCUUUCUAUAUAGCUUACAGAAAGGACACAUUGUUUCAAUGAGUCCUGUGGCUGCCAUUCUCUUUGCUGAGCACUUUACUAUUGAUGCUGUGUUAUAUUAGACACAGUAGCUGUGUUAUGAAAUAAAAAGAAAGCAUUUUACAUGGGACUGUUUUAUACAGUCAUCUGUAAUUUGUUUUAAUCACUGCAUUAGAUAUAUAAGAUUUCAGAUUGCCUACAUAUAGUCAAUCAAAAUUAAAAUAAAUGAUUCCUUCUGUUAUAGAGCUAUUGUUUUUCAAUUACUCUGAGUAGAAUUGCACUUGUAUUUAGAUUUAUUGGGAUCAAUAUUUACACCCUCAACAGAUAUAACAUGUCUGUGUAUGUAGAUUACCUAGCAUGAGUCUUCCUACAGUAAAUAUACAGUAUAGUACAUUAUACUGUACAGUAUACUUUUCUAUGUACAGGAAAUAUGGCUUAGGGGGAUAAUCAUCGUAUGAUUAUAUGAAGGUCCUAAGCUGGCAUUUUGUCACCGCAAGAGACUAUUUGUCCCAAGUGAACAGAAGUGGAGAGUUUAUCUGAUAAUAUUUGUUUCAGUAUUCCAGCAGGUAGGGCUGAAACAGAUGAGCACAGGACUUCACUGCCCACCCCCCAGUUAAGAUUCUAUGGACCUGUAUUGGAUAAGAGGUUGGGCGAUGAUGGAUGGAUGCCUGAUAAGCACCCGGCCAAGAUGACUGAAAAGACACAGAAACACAGAAAACUCACUGGAGUAAAAGAAGCCCUGAAGCAACAGCUAAAGGCUUGAAGGAAUCAUUGGAUGUGGUUAAAAUCUCUGUUGACAAGUCUACCACAUGUAAAGCAUUGUACACGCAUGACGUCCAUGGGAGGACACCAGACAGGAAGCCGCUGCCCAUCAACAGAAGAACACUCCUGUAUUCCUGAAGCUCGCCCAAGACCAGCUUCACACUCUGCUCUGCUACUGAGAAAAUGUCUUCUGGACUGAUGAGACUAAGGCUGAAUUAUCGAAGAAGAACAUGUGAUAUUAUAUCCUCCUGAGAGCCAAGGAAAAAAGUGUCCUUCAAUUGUAGGUUAUUUGUCUUAAUUUGGAGGAAAUAAGACAUUUUACAGUUUAGAUUUUAUCAAAUUUAUUUUUAUUUUUAAUUUCACAGCAUGUCCUCUUUAGUGCACAACAGGAAUAAAUAUGUUUCCUUACAUCAGUGAAAAGACAGAUGCAAAAAAUUUGAUACUCAUUGUAAACCCUUCAACACAAAAGUAAUUAGAAUGUUCAACCUAAAUAAACUCUGCAAUUUACAGCCAAACAAUUCAUAGGUAUUUUAUUAAAACUAUCUGGAAUGAAUAAUUUUAAAAUAGAGUGAUUCUAGUAGUAAAAUUUCACAUAAUGAUAGAUAUGUAUGUGUACAUUCUGUACUAUACUGUCCAGUGUCACACCCUGCCUCCCAUAUCCACCUGACCCUCCUGUUUCCCCCCUAGUGUGACCCUAACAAGCUACGCCUGUUACUCACUUGUCUUACCUCCCAUUGCUAACCCUCAUGUUAAUCGCUCCCAGCUGCC